AUUGAACGCUGGCGGCAGGCCUAACACAUGCAAGUCGAGCGAGUGGCGGACGGGUGAGUAAUGUCUGGGAAACUGCCUGAUGGAGGGGGAUAACUACUGGAAACGGUAGCUAAUACCGCAUACCAUCAGAUGUGCCCAGAUGGGAUUAGCUAGUAGGUGGGGUAAAGGCUCAACUAGGAGACGAUCCCUAGCUGGUCUGAGAGGAUGACCAGACACACGAGAACUGAGACACGGUCCAGAAUCCGACGGGAUGAAUGAGUGGGGAAUAUUGCACAAUGGGAGCAAGCCUGAUGCAGCCAUGCCGCGUGUGUGAAGAAGGCCUUAGGGUUGUAAAGGACUUUCAGCGGGGAGGCGUUACUCGCAGAAGAAGCACCGGCGAACUUCGCGCCAGCCGCCGCGGUAAUAC
rnacentral:rRNA from 1 species